rnacentral:rRNA from 1 species
AGCGAACGCUGGCGGCAGGCCUAACACAUGCAAGUCGAGCGCCCAGCAAUGGGAGCGGCAGACGGGAUAGUAACACGUGGGAACGUACCUUUCAGUUCGGAACAACCAAGGGAAACUUUGGCUAAUACCGAAUACGCCCGUAAGGGGAAAGAUUUAUCGCUGAAAGAUCGGCCCGCGUCUGAUUAGCUAGUUGGUGAGGUAAUGGCUCACCAAGGCGACGAUCAGUAGCUGGUCUGAGAGGAUGAUCAGCAUCACUGGGACUGAGACACGGCCCAGACUCCUGCGGGAGGCAGCAGUGGGGAAUAUUGGACAAUGGGCGCAAGCCUGAUCCAGCCAUGCCGCGUGAGUGAUGAAGGCCUUAGGGUUGUAAAGCUCUUUCGUCAGGGAAGAUAAUGACGGUACCUGAAGAAGAAGCCCCGGCUAACUUCGUGCCAGCCGCCGCUGUAAAAC